rnacentral:rRNA from 1 species
GACGAACGCUGGCGGCGUGCUUAACACAUGCAAGUCGAACGGAAAGGCCCUGCUUUUGUGGGGUGCUCGAGUGGCGAACAGGUGAGUAACACGUGAGUAACCUGCCCUUGACUUUGGGAUAACUUCAGGAAACUGGGGCUAAUACCGGAUAGGAGCUCCUGCUGCAUGGUGGGGGUUGGAAAGUUUCGGCGGUUGGGGAUGGACUCGCGGCUUAUCAGCUUGUUGGUGGGGUAGUGGCUUACCAAGGCUUUGACGGGUAGCCGGCCUGAGAGGGUGACCGGCCACAUUGGGACUGAGAUACGGCCCAGACUCCUACGGGAGGCAGCAGUGGGGAAUAUUGCACAAUGGGCGGAGGCCUGAUGCAGCAACGCCGCGUGCGGGAUGACGGCCUUCGGGUUGUAAACCGCUUUCGCCUGUGACGAAGCGUGAGUGACGGUAAUGGGUAAAGAAGCACCGGCUAACUACGUG